UACGUAGGGGGCAAGCGUUGUCCGGAAUCAUUGGGCGUAAAGCGCGUGUAGGCGGCCCGGUAAGUCCGCUGUGAAAGUCAAGGGCUCAACCCUUGAAUGCCGGUGGAUACUGCAGGGCUAGAGUCCGGAAGAGGCGAGUGGAAUUCCUGGUGUAGCGGUGAAAUGCGUAGAUAUACGGAGGAACACCAGCGGCGAAGGCGGGUAGCUGGGCCAACACUGACGCUGAUGUGCGAAAGCUAGGGUAGCAAACGGG
rnacentral:rRNA from 1 species